AAACGACUCUCGGCAACGGAUAUCUCGGCUCUCGCAUCGAUGAAGAACGUAGCGAAAUGCGAUACUUGGUGUGAAUUGCAGAAUCCCGUGAACCAUCGAGUCUUUGAACGCAAGUUGCGCCCGAAGCCUUCCGGCCGAGGGCACGUCUGCCUGGGUGUCACGC
rnacentral:rRNA from 1 species